ACCCACCGCGUGAGACUGUUCCCCGAGCCCCCUAAUUAGUCAUUUCGCCCCUUUCCCCCUCUCUUAGGGUUAGCCCCUCUCUCCUUCGCGUUCCCGAUGCGAUUCCUCCUUGCAGCCCUAAGAUCCAGAGAUUUCAAGCGGUGAUAAGCGUAGAUCGGAGUAGGAGAGGUGAGGGGCACGCACGGAGCGGAGAUGUGGUGAGAUUCAGUUGGUGGUGGAGGAUAUGAUGCACAUGAAGGUUUUUGGUAGAGGGAGAAGCCCAAAUCGAGGAAGGAGGAGGAGGAGCCCCGCGAUUGGAGGUGAGUCUCGAUUCCAGCAUCCUGCUUCCAGGGCUCCGAUGACACCACGGCGAGCAGAGUGGACUUCAAUGGGUGCCCAUCUGCUUCGAUCGAUACAGAAAAGGUAGACUAUGUCGUCGAAGAACAACUGCUACAAGGAGAAGACGAUGUGGCUGAACUAAGGAAUCCACAGUACAUGUGCUUUUUAUUUGUUCUGCACUUUUAUUAGCGGCAAGUGAUUUGUUACUUGACAAAUAGAAUACAAGUUGUGUCUGAAGGAAAGAAGGAACUAGAAUAUAUAGGAGCCAUUUUUGAGACCUUACCUGCAUAAAACUCCUGUUCUAUGGCAGAAUUCAAUUCUGUAAAUCCAAGUUUUAUUUGCGCAUAUAAUAUGAUGGCAUGGCAUAUUUGCUAUUAGAAGUCAUGAUAUCCUCAGAAAUGACAUAAUCUCUUGCUAAGAUAAGAUAUGACAUAAUCUCUUGCUAAGAUAAGAUAUACUCCACCCUAAAUUAUGAGCACUGAAGAACAAGGCUGUUCAUACAUUUUUGAAUGAACUAUUUGAUGUACACAUGCUUACGCUGUAGUGUUAUCCUAUCCAUGCAAAUUAUGACUUUCCUUUUUUAUUUGGUAUAUCAAAUUGUAUGCCCAUAUAGUUCAUAAUUUUCCAUCAAUGUAUAAGUUUGACGCAUCUGUUCUCUUUUCUCGGGUUCUUUGCCUUGUGCUAUUCAACAUGCUUGCAUUGGUACCCUUGGGCACUGAGUUUGAGAGAACUAUGGAUCAGUCCAUCUCACAUCUCACAUAUUAUGGAAAAAUAUGAUUCUCAAGUAGGCAAUAAAAAUGAACAGGAAUUUUAGGAAACAAAUAUCGUUCCGGAUUAUCCAAAACAAUAUGCUUCAUUAGGCAAUAAUAUGAUUCUGAACUAGGCAAAACUGUUUACUUCAUUAACCAAUGUUUAGUUUAGAAUUUUAUAAUUUAUUUUCAUGGGCUGCCUAAAGUACUAGAUAAUAUCAACUAUCAGCACUGGUAUUUAACACAGAACCUAGUUCUUUAGCCUGAUCUGACCACAUGGGAGUAAAUGCUAUGUGUGCAGUCAUCUUGAGAGUACAUAUUCAAAAUUCAUUAGGCUAUAAUAUGGGCUAAAUUAGGCAGUUAUGUAGUUCUUAAUUAGGCAAUAAUAUGGCACUGAAAAGGCAAAAUAGUUUACUUUAUUAGGCAAUGUUAUUUAACAUCUAAUUUCCAGUAUGUCAUAGAGAGAUAACAACAUUCCUACUAAUCUAAGCAUGUCCUUUAGAACUAUUGUUCAGUUUUUGUAGCAUGAUCUGAACUAUGACAGAAUAGGAGCAUCCCUACAAGAUCCUAUCUCUUGCUCCUUUCAUUAGACAUGUUCCUUUUUUUUCCUGUAUGGAGGGAUACGAGGCUCUCUGGCAAACAUACCAUAAGAGCAUGGGUACACUUAAUUCACACUGUCCCGCCUUUAUUCAAUUGUGCGCUUUCUGAUAUGUACACAAAACAAAUAUCUAGUUCAGUAACAAAGUAGUUUAACAACAUUUAACUGGCAUUUAAGUAGUACUGAGGUAGCAAUUUAACAAUAUUUGGUAGGCAAUUUCAAAAUGGUCAGCCCAAGCAUUUAGAUAAUACUUAGCUAUUUUCGUGCUCAAGUGUAGUUCUUGACUCAAACGGAGCACUUGUGUUUAUAUAGAUGCUCUAAUUCUGCGUGUGUGUGCACAAAUAUCCUAACAGAGGUGCUUCUAUUGUUACAUCUACAGUGAAGGAGGCUACCCAAAUGAUUUAUGAAUAUAUAUCUAAAGGACGAACCAUGGUUAACAUUACUCUGCAAGAAGAUGCAACUAGAUAUGAAUGAGAUCAUCAAUGAUGUGACAACAAAAACUAGUGAAGCUUCAUUUUACGCGGACAAUUUCUCCUGCACCUACUCUUCUGAGAAUAGACUCACACAGAUCUGAUGAUGGAGCUGGUUCAAGCUUUUUUGGUUCUAGACGAUGAGGCCUGAACACAUGUUUUUUUUGUGAAUGUGUUAGAUGGGUAAAACUGCCUUUGUAUAUGUUGUAAUUUGCUUACAGUUAUUCAAUACUUUGCUUAUAAGGUUCCAAACGUUGCUUUAUUUUGUUCGUAACCGCUGAGUUGAAUUACCUGUAUUAAAAUGGUAGAAACCUCCAGAAGCAAGAGGGGUAGCGGUGUGGGUCUGAAUCUGUCGGAAAACAUUACUAUUUUACUAAUGAUUGGUGCCAGGUCAGCUUCUUGAA